rnacentral:rRNA from 1 species
AUUGAACGCUGGCGGCAGGCCUAACACAUGCAAGUCGAGCGGAGCGGCGGACGGGUGAGUAAUGCAUAGGAAUCUGCCUGGUAGUGGGGGAUAACGUCCGGAAACGGGCGCUAAUACCGCAUACUAUCAGAUGAGCCUAGGGCGGAUGAGCUAGUUGGUGGGGUAAAGGCCUACCAAGGCGACGAACCGUAACUGGUCUGAGAGGAUGAUCAGUCACACUGGAACUGUGAGGAGGUCCAGACUCCUACGGGAGUCAGCAGUGGGGAAUAUUGGAGAAUGGGCGAAAGGCUGAUCCAGCCAAGCCGCGUGUGUGAAGAAGGUCUUCGGAUUUUAAAGCACUUUAAGUUGUGAGGCGUUACCAACAGAAUAAGCACCGGCUAACUUCGUGCCAGCAGCCGCGGUAAUUC